AGUGACAUAAACAAUUUAAAUGCAUCAUAAAAGCGAACCCCCCACUCCUUAGGCAAGAACCGUGAGGCUUAAGGGCUUCCAGUAGGACUUUGACCAUCCUGCAACAUUCUCUUGUACUGGCUCUGCUCAAAGAAACAGAAGGUUUUGCCUCAAGCUAGCACACAGCAGAGAACAAAGACUAGAAACCAGGCAAGUGCUUCGAAGAUAAAAGAUCACUUCCCUCUCCCUUAGUCAGGAGCCUUAAGGAGUGGAGGCAUCACCCACACAUUCCCCAGUUUGCACGUAGGGUUUCAGCCAGCAAAUCCGUCCACUAAAGCUGCCUCCAAUUCAAACUGGAUUGAGUGACAAGUGGCUUGGGUGUCUCUCAAAGAUUUAUAGGUGGCAAUGGCCACUCCUCUGUGUAAUUACCCUCUAUGCACGUCUUUUUCUUCUCUCCCACUCCAUCCCCCACCCCUCUUUGUUUCUUCCUCCCUUCCUCUCCCUCCUGUUGACUUUUUCUCUCCCUGCAAACAGUUCCAGGCACCGCUUAGCAUCUGCCACUCUGGCUCUAGAAAGCUUUGCUUCCCCUCUGCUCCCUGGCUGGCUGGAACUCAGCCUCCGGUGUGGGCAGACUGGCUCAUCCUCUGUGUUUCUCUGAGUGUGGACUGCUGCCUUCCACACAGACUCUCUGAAGUCAAGGAGCCGCACCAGCACUUCAGUUGUGGGCCAUAAUCAAGACAGGACCAGCAGAGAGAGAUUAUUGUUGCUUUUUAUACUUUAAGCAGAAAAGCGAACAAGACAUUCAGCUUUGGCCAGAUCCCACAGGACUGAGAAUGGUGACCGGGCUUCUUGCGCACUAUCUCAGAGCGGAAUGGAAAAAAAAAGACAGCACUGUUUUGAGGGGUUUGUUUUGUUUGCCUAGGGAAAAACCCCAGCCCAGCUCCCCACCCCGAGCCCUGCCCAGCAGUGGUGGCUGCUGAGGACCUCAGCAUGGGGAAAAAAAGGCAGAAGUGCUCCAAGUCAGGGCAGCAAGUGCGGCCUGGUCAGAAAGGAAGUUCCAGUGGUCUUGGAGUGGAACAGAUGACUGGGAUUCUCAGAUCUAGAGGGACAGGGAGCCAGCACAAGAGGGGGGUGUCGGAAGUGCGAAAUCAGCUGAAUACUCGCUGUGUUUAAAAUGUCAAGAGCAAGACACGGAGGAAAGGGGAGGGGGAGGGUGCCUUUUGGUUUGUGGGAGGCAGUUUUCAAAAUGCUAGAAACACAAGUUCGCAUUCUCGUGUGUGCCUGUUACAAGUCCAAUCGGCAGGCUGCUGGGAGCUAGGGAACACGGGAGCCUGGUCCCACCCCACGGAGCUCUGCCUCCACCUUCCCGGGCUCCGGAGGAAUCUCCCGCUGCUGCCUCAAGAAGCCAGUUAGAACAUCGGACACACCCAGUGCCAAGCGAGAGCUCAAGGAUCUGGCUAAAGGGCUACAUGGCACUGUGAAGUGCUCGGGAGAGCAGGAACCAGGCCAUUCUCUUAGUUUCGAUUCUAAAAUGUGACUGGAUGUGUGUGGGGGGGGGGAGGGGGGUGUUGGUUAGGGAAUGAUCUCAAGAAGCAUGGCAAGGGAAGAGGAAAGAAAGCAAGACAGAAGACAGCAAAGCUAAGAAACCGUUUGUCAGUGAAAGCAACUGCAGCUCACUCCCACAAGAAACCCCGAGAAGAUCCCAUCAAACACAUCUUUAAGGAUUAAUCACCAGGAAGGAGGAAUACAUUUCACCUGUGCUAUCCCUCAGUGGCACAUCAUUAACCCGGGUGCGUCCUGCCUUAAAGGGGCUCGGCAAACACCUGUACAGGCCAGAACGCUGCCUGACUGGAUGCAGAAGUGCCCAUGAAGCUGCUCAUGAGCACCUCCAGUGAUGAGUUCUGCUUGAAGGCUUGAAGAGAAAAUCAUGGAUGUGCUUUUGAUCUUUGUCUUGCUCCGAUACUUAGAAGUAGAGCCCACAAAGCCCCCAGGAGAUUCAGCAGGAAAAUCAGGAAUAUGGCAGCGUGGUAUGAAGGAUUUGUUCCUGGCAUCAGCAAUCUCAAGUUUUGAAAUGAUAUGUCAAGUGAGAAUGAUCCAAGGACUAGUGACCAUCCAUUCUGAGUUGCUAGGAUCAGAAUGACGGGGCUUCACUUUGACUUCCAGAAGCACUGGGAGAUUCUAUAUACUCCCUAGUAACCAGAGAAUGCCCAAGGUAGCAUGUUAAAAUGAGUUCAGAGUUGGGUGCCUCCAUUACAAAACUAAACAGAUCAAGGAAAUUGGUCUAGACUGCUCUUCAAAAGAUGGUCUUCUCCUAACCUGGCUUAGCAAGAAAUAAUGAAAUCACAUCCAUGUCUGUAAUAAAGUUUUUGAUAAAACCAAA